GCCACUGCAUCAGAAGCCUUGGGAGUGAGUCCCAGGAAUCUGCACAAAACAGGAUUCUACUGUCCUGUUGGUGUGUGGGUGUGACCUCAGACCAGCAGCACCAGCAUUGCCUGUGAGCUUGUUACAAAUGCCAAUUUUGGUCCCACUCAAGCAUGGAAAAUCAGCAUUGCUGGGAAGGUGGCCCAGGAAACUGUCCUAACAAGCCGGCCACAGGAAAGUUUGAGAGCUGCUGGCCCAGUGGCAAGGAUUCCUGACUCUUAAAGCCCAUCUGAUGUGGGUUUGAAGCCAGCUUCUAACACAUAUUCCUGUGUGGCCAUGGCAAAACCUUCUUAAGAGGAAGAUUGCAUCUGCAUUUUGAGUUGGGGACUCCUUCGUUGGUGAUGGCGUUGCUGCCUUGUAUGGAGGGGCACAGCCUGGCCUUCUGCAGGACACCUGGCAGCCUUGGGCUGGAUGGAUUCAGCAGUAAUUGAUCUCCGAGCCAGUGAGUGUGCGCAGCACCAGCAAUUUUCAAAAUGCACGGAAUGGCGGCGUGAGGCACCCAAGCUGGCGGAGGAGCUAGGACAGAGCCCCUCUCUGCUGCCUCCCGCUGGAAUCUGGACGGAGCAGGAAAAUUCAGGGGCUGAGAAGUCCCGGCACCCACUGACAUUAGAAUUUCAGACACACAAUCAAUGAUGUUUCAGUGUAAGUAUGU